rnacentral:rRNA from 1 species
UACGGAGGGGGCUAGCGUUGUUCGGAAUUACUGGGCGUAAAGCGCGCGUAGGCGGCCUGAUAAGUCGGGGGUGAAAUCCUGUGGCUCAACCACAGGGCUGCCUCCGAGACUGUCGGGCUCGAGCACAGUAGAGGCAGGUGGAAUUCCCGGUGUAGCGGUGGAAUGCGUAGAGAUCGGGAAGAACAUCGGUGGCGAAGGCGGCCUGCUGGGCUGUUGCUGACGCUGAGACGCGACAGCGUGGGGAGCAAACAGG